UUCAAAGGUGAUUUAGUACUGUCCAGCCAUGUUAUGGGUUGCACUUACUGCUGGUUGUCACCAUCUGGUAAGCUUUGCUGGGCAGGAGACAGGACCAGCUAACUUCUCUGUCCAUUGGAUUG